UCUAUUAAUAGGCAGGCAUUUAAUUCAGAUGGCCUGUUGUGGCAAACGCCUGUUAAAAUGCAUUUGUAGCUAAUAACAAGCUUAAUUUUUAUCAGGGGAUGGGGAUACCUGUUGGAAAACUGGCUCUGUAUACAGCACUUGGCGGAGUUAGACCUUCUUCGUGUUUGCCCGUAACCAUUGAUGUGGGGACAAACAAUGAGCAGUUGUUGAAAGAUGAAUUCUACAUUGGG